UCCCGAUCCCACCUAAUAAUCUGCUUGAGCACCAGUAAAGUAAUCAUUAAAAUUCCAAAGCUAUACGUACAGAGAGGUAUCUGUUGGCAGCUUAAAAUAAAAGCUGUUACAGGUAGCAUGACGGCCACUCGGCCAGCAUUUCCAAGUAUGCUUCACGGAUGGGAAUUAAUACCAAAAUUGCUGAUAUAUCAGAGUUUUCAAAAAAAAAGUUCAUGGUUUCUCAAUCUUUACUGCCACAAAAAUGAGAAGGCUUAAGCAACGUUUUGUAUGCAGAAGCAGAGCACCAAAUAUCAGCUGCUUCCAAGGACAGACCCGUCUUGCACAUUUUUACAACCUGGAACACUAGGACUGGGACGUGGAAAGGCUCUUCCAUUUAGAAACAAACAGGACUCAGAUUGAUCCGUACCUAACUUCACUAGUUCUCCCUGUUGCUUGAGUAGAAGCAGGUUGACGCUCCCAUGAAGCUUGAUUUGCAAAUGGAUUAUUGACAUCUUCUGGUCGUGAAUAGCCAUGGCCUACCCCACUUACAGUUUCCAAACAUGCGGAUAAAAGUGUCAUUCCAGGCAAUGCAUCAAGCCCACGCUGAUUAUACACCCGUGUCUUGUAAAUGAACCCUCCACAG
rnacentral:misc_RNA from 1 species